rnacentral:rRNA from 1 species
UAGGGAAUCUUCGGCAAUGGGGGGAACCCUGACCGAGCAACGCCGCGUGAGUGAAGAAGGUUUUCGGAUCGUAAAGCUCUGUUGUUAAGGAAGAACGAGUGUGAGAAUGGAAAGUUCAUACUGUGACGGUACUUAACCAGAAAGGGACGGCUAACUACGUGCCAGCAGCCGCGGUAAUACGUAGGUCCCGAGCGUUGUCCGGAUUUAUUGGGCGUAAAGCGAGCGCAGGCGGUUAGAUAAGUCUGAAGUUAAAGGCAGUGGCUCAACCACUGUAGGCUUUGGAAACUGUUUAACUUGAGUGCAGAAGGGGAGAGUGGAAUUCCAUGUGUAGCGGUGAAAUGCGUAGAUAUAUGGAGGAACACCGGUGGCGAAAGCGGCUCUCUGGUCUGUAACUGACGCUGAGGCUCGAAAGCGUGGGGAGCGAACAGGAUUAGAUACCCUGGUAGUCCACGCCGUAAACGAUGAGUGCUAGGUGUUAGGUCCUUUCCGGGACUUAGUGCCGCAGCUAACGCAUUAAGCACUCCGCCUGGGGAGUACGACCGCAAGGUUG